AAUCCAUGUUGAGGGCAUUUCCUCAACAAUUCCUUGUAUUUUUCCCAUGCCUCAUUUAAAGUUUUAGACUCCAUUUGUCGAAAAGAAGAUAUAUUAUUUUUGAGCUU